rnacentral:rRNA from 1 species
AGAGUUUGAUCAUGGCUCAGAUUGAACGCUGGCGGAAUGCUUUACACAUGCAAGUCGAACGGGCUUAAGGAGCUUGCUCCUUAAGUUAGUGGCGAACGGGUGAGUAAUAUAUCGGAACGUAUCCAAUAAUGGGGGAUAACUAAUCGAAAGGUUGGCUAAUACCGCAUACGCCCUACGGGGGAAAGCUAGGGACCUUCGGGCCUGGCGUUAAUGGAGCGGCCGAUAUCUGAUUAGCUAGUUGGUGGGGUAAAGGCCCACCAAGGCGACGAUCCGUAGCUGGUCUGAGAGGAUGAUCAGCCACACUGGAACUGAGACACGGUCCAGACUCCUACGGGAGGCAGCAGUAGGGAAUAUUGGACAAUGGGCGCAAGCCUGAUCCAGCCAUGCCGCGUGUGUGAAGAAGGCCUUCGGGUUGUAAAGCACUUUUGUCCGGAAAGAAAAGCUUCGGGUUAAUACCCCGGGGUCCUGACGGUACCGGAAGAAUAAGCACCGGCUAACUU